rnacentral:ncRNA from 1 species
GUCAAUCACCCCACCCUGAAGGGUGGAGCUUGCGGAGAAAUCCAAAAAGCUAGGUUGACCAGGGUAGUGGUAGCCAAUCCACGACGUUAAUAACAGGUCGUUCAGACACACCAGCGAGUGCUUCCUCAGCUCGCUGCUCUGUAAGGUCUUGAUCAUGCUGGACAAGGGUAAAGGUCCGAAGGUCUUGAUCGCGGCGCGCAAGCGCUGGAGCCGGUUGUUGACAGUCCCGAGGGGAGACCGUGCGUCAAAAGCCCUUAAAAGCGUUUGACAAGCGGCGUUACAAGGCCCGUAAGGG